UACAGAGGUCUCAAGCGUUGUUCGGAUUCAUUGGGCGUAAAGGGUGUGUAGGUGGCGCCGUAAGUCGGGUGUGAAAUUUCGGAGCUUAACUCCGAAAUUGCACUGGAUACGGCUCUGCUAGAGGGCUGGAGAGGAGAUCGGAAUUCACGGUGUAGCAGUGAAAUGCGUAGAUAUCGUGAGGAAGACCAGUGGCGAAGGCGGAUCUCUGGACAGCUCCUGACGCUGAGGCGCGAAGGCUAGGGGAGCAAACGGG
rnacentral:rRNA from 1 species